UUGAGGUUACUCAUAACUACGUGAACAUCGAACUGUAUUACCUCACCAAAAUACUAUUGUAUUGUAGAUGGUGGUUCAUGGCCGUUCUCAUUUGAUGGAUCGAUUUGCCUAGUUAGUUCCGAUGGCGAACAAGACUUUAACCUGCUAAAUAGUAGACUGGUCAUAUGUGUUCAUUUAGGGCACAACUUCUAUUGCUGCUUUACUAAGGAGUGUGGCCGUGGUCCAGCAGGUGCGGUGCCCGUUUUUACUACUUAGGGGGUCAUAUGGUACACCUAAUUUGCACGAAAUUGGGUAAUAACAGGUCACUGAUGUCCGGAGACACACGUUCGCUACAAUGACGUUGCCAACGGGUAUGAAAACAUGGACCAAAAGGGUUGGAUAAACUGUUUCAUCACCGUCGUAACUGGAAUCGGGGCUUGCAAUUAUAAUCCAUGAACGAGGAA
rnacentral:ncRNA from 1 species